UACGAAGGGUGCAAGCGUUAAUCGGAAUUACUGGGCGUAAAGCGCGCGUAGGUGGUUUGGUAAGUUGGAUGUGAAAGCCCCGGGCUCAACCUGGGAACUGCAUCCAAAACUGCCUGACUAGAGUACGGUAGAGGGUGGUGGAAUUUCCUGUGUAGCGGUGAAAUGCGCAGAUAUCAGGAGGAACACCGGUGGCGAAGGCGCCACUCUGGGCCGAGACUGACGCUGAGGAGCGAAAGCGUGGGUAGCAAACAGG
rnacentral:rRNA from 1 species